GCUUUUGGAGGGCAUUUCUUCUCAAAACAUACGAGACCAUCACAUCUACUCCAGGGAGCAUUGCUACUCCCCCCACAAAGCUCUGUCUCAUUCAGAUACAUAUUAUAUAGUGAGGAGUUUGGAAGGUGCAGUUCCACUGAAUCAACGUGUAUGUCUCAGCUGGACGAGGACACUCCAAAGCUCCAGGAGCUGUUCCCUUUGAACGGAGGAGAGGGGUUGGUCAGUGCAUCAACAACUUGUUUAUGGAGCUGAUACAGGAAACUGCAGAUAGCAGUGUGCAUGAGGAC